CGUGACCUACCCUGUAGUUCCGGGCUUUUGUUUAUGCCGCGUUCGACGCACUGUCGCACUGCUGGCUCGAUUAUCAGAAGCUCGUCUCUACAGGUAUCUCACAG
rnacentral:pre_miRNA from 13 species